UUCCGGUUGAUCCUGCGGAGGCCACUGCUAUGGGGGUCCGACUAAGCCAUGCGAGUCAUGGGGCGCGCUCUGCGCGCACCGGCGGACGGCUCAGUAACACGUCGGUAACCUACCCUCGGGAGGGGGAUAACCCCGGGAAACUGGGGCUAAUCCCCCAUAGGCCUGAGGUACUGGAAGGUCCUCAGGCCGAAAGGGGCAUCUGCCCGCCCGAGGAUGGGCCGGCGGCCGAUUAGGUAGUUGGUGGGGUAACGGCCCACCAAGCCUACGAUCCGUACGGGCCCUGAGAGGGGGAGCCCGGAGAUGGACACUGAGACACGGGUCCAGGCCCUACGGGGCGCAGCAGGCGCGAAACCUCCGCAAUGCGCGGAAGCGCGACGGGGGGACCCCGAGUGCCAUCCCCUUGGGAUGGCUUUUCCGGAGUGUAAACAGCUCCGGGAAUAAGGGCUGGGCAAGUCCGGUGCCAGCAGCCGCGGUAAUACCGGCGGCCCAAGUGGUGGCCACUGUUAUUGGGCCUAAAGCGUCCGUAGCCGGCCCGGUAAGUCUCUGCUUAAAUCCUGCGGCUCAACCGCAGGGCUGGCAGAGAUACUGCCGGGCUUGGGACCGGGAGAGGCCGGGGGUACCCCAGGGGUAGCGGUGAAAUGCGUUGAUCCCUGGGGGACCACCUGUGGCGAAGGCGCCCGGCUGGAACGGGUCCGACGGUGAGGGACGAAGCCCUGGGGUGCAAACCGGAUUAGAUACCCGGGUAGUCCAGGGUGUAAACGCUGCUCGCUUGAUGUUAGGUGGGCUCCGGGCCUACCUAGUGUCGGAGAGAAGUUGUUAAGCGAGCUGCCUGGGGAGUACGGCCGCAAGGCUGAAACUUAAAGGAAUUGGCGGGGGAGCACAGCAACGGGUGGAGCGUGCGGUUUAAUUGGAUCAACGCCGGAAAU
rnacentral:rRNA from 1 species